GCCAUUGUCAUAUUUUGGAGGAAACUUAAAAUGUUAUAUUCAGAUAUACCAUCAAUAUUCCAGUCAUAGACUGAUGAUGAGUUAAACCUAGAUUGCUCUAUUGGUUGGAUUUGUCCUAGAUCAGGGGCUGAGAUUAAUUGACGAACAUGAUGGUUUUGCCAAUAAAGACGGUUUAUUUUUGGGACAGAAUUUUGAUCAGAACAUUCACUAAUGUCUUAAUCAUUGGCUAGAGUGUUUAUUUGGAUUUUGGAUGUAGGAGUAUCGGGGAUAUCAGAAAUAUGUGGCAUGCUACUAUCUCCUAUUUCAGCUU
rnacentral:lncRNA from 1 species